UACGGAGGGUGCGAGCGUUGUUCGGAAUCACUGGGCGUAAAGGGCGUGUAGGCGGUCCGCUAAGUCUGAUGUGAAAGCCCGGGGCUCACCCCCGGAAGGGCAUUGGAAACUGGCGAACUCGAGUCCCGGAGAGGAGGGUGGAAUUCCUGGUGUAGCGGUGAAAUGCGUAGAUAUCAGGAGGAACACCGGUGGCGAAGGCGGCCCUCUGGACGGUGACUGACGCUGAGACGCGAAAGCGUGGGGAGCAAACAGG
rnacentral:rRNA from 1 species